rnacentral:rRNA from 1 species
GACUCCAUGAAGCUGGAUUCGCUAGUAAUCGCGCAUCAGCCACGGCGCGGUGAAUACGUUCCCGGGCCUUGUACACACCGCCCGUCAAGCCAUGGGAGCCGGGGGUACCUGAAGUGCGUGACCGCAAGGAGCGCCCUAAGGUAAAACCGGUGACUGGGGCUAAGUCGUAACAAGGUAAC